GAUGAACGCUGGCGGCGUGCCUAAUACAUGCAAGUCGAACGCUGAAGGACGGAGCUUGCUCUUUCCGGAUGAGUUGCGAACGGGUGAGUCACGCGUAGGUAACCUGCCUGGUAGCGGGGGAUCACUAUUGGAAACGAUAGCUAAUACCGCAUAACAGUAGAUGUUGCAUGAUAUCUACUUAAAAGGUGCAAUUGCACCACUACCAGAUGGACCUGCGUUGUAUUAGCUAGUUGGUGAGGUACCGGCUCACCAAGGCGGCGAUGCAGAGCCGACCUGAGAGGGUGAUCGGCCGCACUGGGACUGUGACAGGGCACAGAGUCCUACGGGAGGCAGCAGUAGGGAAUCUGCGGCAAUGGACGGAAGUCUGAGCGAGAAAGGCCGCGUGAGUGAAGAAGGUUUUCGGGUCGUGGAGCUCUGUUGUCAGAGAAGAACGAGUGUGAGAGUGUAAAGUUCACACUGUGACGGUAUCGUACCAGGAAGGGACGGCUAACUACGUG
rnacentral:rRNA from 1 species